GCCUAGUUAGCUUGGUUGGUAGCGCGUCUGCCUCAUAAGCGCUAGGCUGCGGGUUCGAUUCCCGCCCAGGGCG
rfam:Asian citrus Psyllid, Diaphorina citri - Florida Strain, whole genome shotgun sequence.